UUUGCCGCGAGUAUUUGUUUAUUAUCUAUAUGUUCGGAGUGGUGCAGUUUCUGGAAAAUGGGCGGCUGCAAAUCCUGGCUGUUCCAACAAGUUGGAUCAUAGGUGAGUUUCUCAUGUGGCCAAAGUCCAUUAACAAUGAGAGCAUUGAAAAGAUGCGAAAAGAUGGCACGGCUUUUCGUGAGUCGACAAGGGCCAUACCCGUGCUUAUUACUAGAAAGUUUUGAAAAUUCGAUCAAGCAGAAGCAGCUGUUGAUGAAUUUUCGAGAAAAGAUGUAUCCGAUUUUGAAGGAAAAACGAAAUUUCUAAAAUCCACCAAAAAGAAGAAGAAAAAGUCGGUUUCAGAUACAACCGAUUUUAGUGAUAUGCUGACAGAUAUAGUGAAUAAAAACUCGAAAAGCAGCUAAUUAACCAACAAUCAAGCACCAUUGAAUAAACUGCCCAUAUAUAUACCAACACCAGAACCAAUACUUUAUAAUCAAAAAUUUGUCGAAACCCAAGCAUCGAUGCAGCUAAAUGUAACACAAGAAGGGCCACCUUUCGGUCCUGUUGACACUACGUCGUGGAAAACGGAAUCAUCAAUUCAAUUGAAUAGUGAACGAACCUCCCAUGAUCUUAUAAAAAUGAUUGAUUGACAAAUUGAAAUAGAAGGGUUGCAGACUUCAAAUGCUUUUUCAGAUCACACAAUAUACGGAACUAUGAAUGCCCCUGAAUUCAGUAUUUCUCAUGAGAAUGAACAAAAUAACAUGAAACAGAUAGGUGCACCAAGUGAAACAGUAUACGACCUUGUCACCUUGAUAAGGCAAACAAUUUCUGAAUCCGUGAAUGAAACCAUUCCUGUUGCAAUCGAGU